CGGGGCGCCGGCCGCGGGACGCGCGUGCGCGCUGAGAGUGCUGCAUUUUCCUGCUGCAAAGGUGGAGGGCAAGCUCCUUUCUUUGCUAGGCCAUGCCAUGUCGAGGAGGAGGAAUGACAACAGCAGGUACAGCACAUUCAGCUCAGGGCAGGUCAGCCACGUGCUCAGUGUGCUUCCAAGUACAGCUCCAAGGAAGAACAACAUAAACACAUCCAGAGCUUGCUACAGAUGGUAGGAUAAGGAAAGCAGAACAUGGUGGGGACGCAAAUCACAUCUAGGAAACCAGAAUGAGGGAACAGAACUAAGUAUUUGAAAGGAACUGAAAAUACACCUCUUUGUAAGAGAGGCAUCAUUCCUCUUUACUCCAAUACAUCUUCAACAGCAGGAAAGUGGAACCUCCCUGGCUUUCAUCCACAUGUAUCAUAUACCACUGACCGCCUAAAUCAUAGUCAUUGUACUGACAUGUCAUAUCAGCAGGGAUGAAAACUAAAGUACCUUAUUUGGGAUCUCAGACAGCAGCCCAGAACGAUUCAGUGGGAAUUUUGCUAUGGGGCUGCUGCCUUCGCAUGGAGCCGCGUCCCUGCCUGGUUCCUGACCGUGUCCCGUCUCCGUUCCACCGCAGGCCGCAGAAGCGACGAUG